GGCCCUGUCUCAAAAAAAAAAAAAAAACUAAUAAUAAGACACUGCUGGACCAAAAGGUUUCAAUAUUCCAAAUCUCCAGUGCAAAAAUAUUAUAACAUCAUUAUUAGAUAUUAUCAGUUAAGGAGAAGAACUCACAUCAGCAAGACAGUAUGAACUUAGAGGAAGUGUUUUUAGAUAGGACGAUUCUUGCUAGUACAGCAGUGUAUCUUGGAUGAUUUUUCAAUAUGAGCUUUUGAAAAACAAAAAACCACAGAAACGUUAGUGUAGUUGAUGAGCGUGAACAAAGCUGAAGCUGUGCGCUCUGUUGAUAUGACUCCCAUGGCCUCUGCCUCUUGAUCUCUCACCUGUUUAGCAGUGCUGUUUUUUUCUGUUUGUGCUGGUUCUCUUUUUCUAAUUCCAUAUCCAAGCUCUGAUUACCCCUACAUAGGAGAGUUGAGAUUUCUUCAGUGUCUAGUCAUACCCACCCCAGACCUUUGAAAGUACCAAUGAAGAAUGUUCUGGGGUUGUGGACUAGGCCCGCCCAAAGAGGUAGUGGGGAAGGAAGCUCCAAAAAUGAGAGGUGAGUGUAGGGUAUGGAUGUGUGAGCAGGUGGUGUCGGGGGGCACACAAGGCCACUCUGUGCCCAAAAUGUAGCAAGCCAUGGAAGGCUGAACUUCCAUAACACAGACCUGUAGGCAACUGGUGAUGUGAUCUUUGGGGAGCUGAUUCCCAGUCAUCACUGAUUUUGCAGAAAAGCUGAAAUAACUAGUCACAGUUGGCAUGCUCUGCCCUUCCGUCCAGCUCUCCCUCUCACACUCACCAAAGCAUGUGCACCUUCCACAUACCCUGUGGGUUUUUCAAGUACUUUAUGUUGCAAACAACACUCCAUAAAAGUCAGAAAAAACAGUAACCUACAGAGGCCUGCUUCUGGAAACAGAAAGAAGCCUGCUUUUAUGCUCCACGCAAGCAUGUGUGUGUCAUUUCUAUAAUCACGGCCACAUUUAUAGAACGUAACUUCUGGGGUGAAAAGUGCCGUAAACCACACUCUGAAAUGUCCUUCAAGUAGACUGUAAUUUUAGUUCUUUCUUGAACUGGUAGCACCAAAGGCAUCUGUUUCAAAAGAGCAAUGCCUAGUUUGUGUCCAUGCAGGGGCACUUGCUGUCUUGUCUUUAUUGGUGUUUCUUCAGAAGCAUGAUCCUUUAUGUUACCCUGAGAGUUCACUAAAACAAUAACAGCAAAAAGCAUUUAUUUUUCACUGAAAAGAAAUUAUUAUUUCAUCUUUUGAAUACUGAGACUUCGUUCAUGAAUAAGCUUUAAGUGUAGGUUUUUAGACAACAAAAUGAUUCUCUGUUGUUCAGAUUGGAGCUGUAAGUUGUGAAUUGGGUUUGCUUUAAUUUUUUUCUCUUAAAAAACAAGAGAAAACAAAGCCACACACAAUACAGUCAACAUAAAAAUAGGUUUCUGGGGGCUUGAAAAAUAUUAUUACAGGGAUAGUGUACAAGGUACUUAAACUCAUCUCUGCCAUCUGCGCUUGCCAUCUGCAUUCACCUCUCAGCCAUUCCAAAACCUUCACGUCCUCUUUGGUGGAGCAGAGUGAGUUUUUAACUUGAUAUAUUUACCCACUCAUGGCAAAUCAAUAAAGUGCUUUAGGCAAUUAAUCUCUCUUUAUUGCUAUUUCCAACUUACUGCUCCCAAAAGAUAAAUAUUUGGCCAACCUUUGAAAACUACAAGAAAAUCUAGAGAAGAGGAUGUUCGAUAUCAGUAUUUAUUUUUUAUUUUUAAGUUGCUCCCUUCAUAGGAAAAUCCCUUCGGGGCAUCAGCACACAAAAGAUUAUAAAUACAUGAAAUAUCUCUGUAAUAGAAGGUAGACGUUUAGAAAUGCUAACUGAAGAUGCAGCCCUGGGUAGAAAAUCAACUUAAAGUCCAUAUUUUUGUUUUCUAGACAAUUAUUAUUUUGAAAAGAUGAGUUUUCACAGAAAAAAUUGGUUUUAUUGAAAUUUAAUUGAAAAGAUAAAUUUUCACCGAAAAAAAUCUGGACAUAUGAUACAUGCAAGCACAUGCGCGCACACACACAAGCACACACACUCUGAAAGGUGGCAGCCUGAGCGUUUGUUAACUUGGCUGCACAUUAAUGUUCUGCUGGCAACAUCUGCUGCCAAAUGUGAAUCGUAAGCAGACAGCUGUGAAGGAAGGUAAGAUAACUUCCAGUGUUGAUGAUGACCUAGAAUAAUGGGGAAGAUUAUAAUGCAUGUUGUUAUAAGUUGGGGGGUAUAUAAACUUGGGUUCUUGGUAUAUGUAAAAGAAGAUAGGGUUUGGGAGAAAGUGCUUGGCAUCACAGAGUGAUGACUUUUCAGAAACUUAGGAAGGUAAGUGGGAAGAAAGGUGCUGAUUAAAAAGAUAUUCCAUCUGGAAGAUAUGUUUUGAGAAAACUUUCCUAUCUAUGGCAGAAUUGUUUUUGCUAGAAUAUUCAGAAUAGCUAAAUGAACCCAGGGCAUAGGGAACCUUGUGGCUGCCUCCCCAGCAUCUUUUCUUCCUCCUCAUAUUCUCAAACUGCCCUAGUUUUUAUUCAGUAUCCAGACCACCCUCUUAUAGCCCCAGUGUUUUGUGAGAGGCCGACUCCAUUAGGACUCUAGGAAUGGAGCCUACGGCUCUGCCUCAGCUCAUCAGCAUGAGACCACCCUCCUCCUCCACCACAGUGAUUGGUUCAGAGAUGGUCAUGUGACCCACGGCUUGCUUGGGAGUUCUGGGAAAGAGGCAUGCUGUGUACGUGUGUGUUAUCUAAUAUACAUUGACCCUUUAUGCCAGGCACUGUACUAAAGGGCUUUCCAUCUAUUAUCUCAUUUAACUCUCAGAAGGGGAACCCUGCGCAGUAGAUACUAGAUUAUCCUCACUUUACAGAGGAGGAAACUGAGGUACAAAGAGGUUAAGCAAUUUUAUAAAAUGUUAUAAAAGUCAUCUAGCUAGCAAGUGUGGAGAGCAAGCAUAUUAACUGCUGGUGUUAAUGUAUUAUGUAUUUAAAGCACCUGGCACACAAUUGGUGCUCAAUAAAUGAUUUCCCUUCUUUUUUUAAUGUUUUAAUUGACAAUAAUUGCAUGUAUUUUGUGGUUAUAAUGUUAUGUGGCUUUGGGGGGUUUUCUUACUUUUUAUUUAUUUAUUUAUAUUUUUUGAGACAGGGUCUCACUCUGUUACCCAGAGUACAGUGGCACAAUAAUAGGCUCACUGCAGCCUCAACCUCCAGGGCUCAAGCAAUCCUCUCACCUCAGCCUAGCUGGGACCACUGAGACCACAGUCGUCUACUACCAACCAACCACACCUGGUUAAUUUUUUAUUUUUUUCAUAGACAUGAGGUGUCACUACAUUGCCCAGGCUGGUCUCGAACUCCUGAGCUUAAACGAUCUUUGUGCCUCAGCCUCCCAAAGUGCUGGGAUUACAGGCAUGAGCUGUGCCUGGCCACAAUGUGAUGUUUUGAUUUUUGUAUACAUUGUGGAAUUAUUAAAUCCGUGCUUACUCUUUUUUUUCUUCUUCUUCUUCUUCUUCUUUUGAGACAGGGUCUCACUCUGUCACCCAGGCUGGAGUUGCAGUGGCAGAAUCACGGCUCAUUGAAGCCUAGACUUCCCGGGACUCAGAUGAUCCUCCCACCUCAGCUUCCCGACUAGCUGGGGCUACAGGCAUGUGUCACCACGCCUGGCUAAUUUUGUAUUUUCUGUAGAAACAGGGUUUCGCUGGUCUCAACCUCUCAGGCUCAAGCGAUCCACCUGCCUCUGCCUCCCAAAGCGCUAGGAUUACAGAUGAGAGCCACUGCCCCUGGCCUGCAGCUCUUUUGAUGGAACUCUUAGAAGCAACAGUCCUCUCCUUGGGUGAGAAAAUAUGUAGCCAGGAAGUCGUUUGUAAAAAUUUUGUGACCACAAGGGGGAGCCAGUCAUAGGCUAACAGUAACGAAGAGUUAAGAGGUGGAAAGAAACUUCAUCAAUGAUAACAUCAUUGAACCAUUGAAUCAAUUCAGCCCUGAAUGCUACCAAGCUCUGACUUUGCAAUUACAUGAGCAAUUCUGCCCACUUAAACUAAUUUCCAUUACUUGCAACAACAGGCAUCAUAACCAUUACUCAGGACAUCCUGGCAAACACCUUUCAAGCAAGUCACCACAAGGGCCUGUAUAGACGGUAGUGAUGAUGAGAGGAGCCAACUUUAGCACCAAUGCUAUUUAGCAGUAGAAGGGUAGAAAAAGGGAAAUUUUGAAAGCCCAUUUGACAGUGACUCGGGCCUUCCUAAAGUUAUUGCUGAAGGUGGCAAUAGCGUGGGAAAAUCCUAGAAAAAGAAAGAGCUGGGAGGAUGGGUACUCAAAGGAGUACCGCAUGACCUAUCUUUGGCCAUUGCAAUAGGAAAGCUGAGUGUGGAGGAGGAACAUGAACCAUCUGGCCUCCAGCCAUUUUAACUUAGGAGAAUUCCACCGUGUUGUCGUAAAGGCAAAUAGUCACUGGAGAGGUGGCUUCUCUCUCUCUAGGUAAGUUGAGCAUUAAGUGCCAAAGAACGUUGAGAAUGAGGACUAGACCUAAACUCUUGGCAUUUAGGAAAAAGAACUUAGAUAUCACAUAUGGUGCAAUUAAAUCCACAAUGAGAUACUACUUCACACCCUCUAGAAGGGGUAAAUUAAAAAAAAAAAAUACCAGGUGUUGGCGAGGUUAUGCAGCAUCUGGAAUUUUUAUACACCGCUGGUGGGAGUGUAAAAUGGUAUAAUUACUUACAAAGUUAAACAAUACUUGUAACCCAGCAAUUCCAGUCCUAGAUAUCCACCCAUGAGAAAUAUAUCCACAAAAAUAUUGAGCAAGAAUAUGCAUAGCAGCUGUAUUCAUAGUUGCCCCAAACUGGAAACAACCCAAAUGGCUAUCAAAUGGUGAAUGAAUACAUUGUGUAUCUCUACAAUGGAAUACUGCUCAGCAAUAAAAGGGAACAAACUACUGAUAUAGGCAACAAUGUGGAUGAAUCACCAAAACGUUAUGCUGAAUAAAAGAAGCCAGACCAAAAAAAAUCAUUUGAUUCUAUUUAUAUGAAACCCUAGAAAAGGCAAAACAAAGCUAUAGUGACAGGAAGCAGAUCAGUGGUUGCCUGGAAAUAGGGCUGGAGCAGUUGGCUUACAAAGAGGCACACGGAGAUGUUCUGAGGUGACAGGAAUAUUCUACAUCUUGAUUGUGGUGGGGAUUGCAUGGGUGUAUACAUUUGUCAAAACUCACAAACUAUUCACGUAAAAUGGGUGUAUUUUAAUAUACAUUAUAGCUUGAUAAAGUUGAUUUUAAAAGAAAAAAAGUGGAAUAUUUAAAAAUGUCCACUCUUGCCCUUCUCCCAUCUGCCAUGCUGUUGAAUUGUUUAUUACCUCCUAUAUCCCAUCUGGUUUGUGAUCUUUUGGAGAGUUGGGAAGGUGAGGUUUCAUCCCCGUCUUCCCUCUGGAGCUCAGCACAGUGCCUGGAAUGUAGUAUGUGUUCAAUUAAAUGUCUACUGUAGUGAAAAGACUGGGAAGUUAAUGAAGAGUCCUAGAACACCGUGAAGGGUGAGUUAGAAGACAAUAGAGGUAAACCAAUAGAGAGGGCAAGCUUAAGAGAGGUCUGUGAAAUGAGAGCUGUGGGGAUGGGAGACUGCCAGGAGAUGCAGGAGGCUACAGCUGGGUGAUGAGGCCAGCAGGGACCUGGAAGUGAAGAGCUGAUGCAUCUGUGUUACCCAGAAAUGAUUGUCAGAACAGUGCUUGAUAAAUAGCAGCUACCAGGUGGCUAAUGAACUGGGUACCUGGGAAAACACACAACCAGUACAUAGGUUUCUAGAACAUAGAAAUGACUGUUUAUGAGCUGUGGGGCCUAAUAACCUCCAACCAUUUAAUGAUACGGUACUAGGUUUAGCCAUGUGAAAUGGUCACUAUUAGACUCUGUCCUACAAAAAUGGCAAUUUCAUACAAUUCGACCUACAACUUUAUACUUGAGUUUCACACAUAAUAUUAGUUGAUCCUCAAUCUUUGCCCUGGCCGGGCGCAGUGGCUCACGUAAAUCCCAGCAGUUUGGGAGGCCGAGGCGGUUGGAUUACCUGAGGUCUGGAGUUCGAGACCAGCCUGGCCAACAUGGUGAAACCCCAUCUCUACUAAAAAUACAAAAAAUCAGCCGGGCAUGGUGUUGGGCGCCUGUAAUCCCAGCUACUCGGGAGGCUGAGGCAGAAGAAUCUCUUGAACCCGGGAGGCGGAGGUUGCAGUAGGCCAAGAUCGUGCCACUGCACUCCAGCCUGGGUAACACAGCAAGAUUCCAUCUCAAAAAAAAAAAAAAAAAAUCUUUGCCUUACAUUAGGCAGGUGUCCAUCGCUCCAUUUAUCUCGUAGAGACAAUGGAGGCUCCACUGAGUUGUCAAUGACUUGCCCAUGGUUACUCAGUUAGAAUAGCUUGGGCUGGCACUGAGAUUUUCUCACUCCGUCCCAACUCCUCCAGCCUAGUUUACUGAAAACAUCUGGACUGUGAGGAAAGGAACCAGGUGAAAACUGCAAGGUGUGGGGAUAAGGUAGUACAUUUCCAGAAAUCUAUUUGGCAUUAUAUAUGAAAAGCCGUAUAUAUGUUUGUUCCCUUGAUUUGGGGAUGUAUCUCUUAGGAGUUUAAGAUUCAUGCACAAAAAUGUUAAUCCUGUCUUUAAUCCAGGGAAAACAACUGGAGUCAGCCUAAAACCCUAACAGUAGGAGAAAGCCGAAAUACACUUCUCAAGCUGUGCUGAACCGUGGUUGCUAGAUUGGUCAUUAAAUCGAAGAUCAGUUAACAUGUUGUCUUUCUAAAAAUACGUGAUGGAGAAAAGUUGUGCACACAAAAAUAUCAGUGGCACUGAAAACUGUUUACAAGGAGUUUUUAGUAGAAAAUGUUUAUGGUGUAACUUUGAAUUUACAAAAGGCAGAGCAAACUUGAGUAGUAAAGAGUGGCAGGAUCGCAAGGUGAUUUUUUAUUUUGUUUUUCUGUAUUUCUCCCAAUUUUCUCCAGUAAGCAUAAAAUACAUUCAUAAUCUGGAAAUAAAUAUUUUUAACUAAAA